UUGAAGACUAGGUCAUUUCAGCUAAAUAUCUCAUCGCACCGCUUUACUCAAACAGCCGCCUGUCUCUCUUCCUUCGCAGGUGGGAAUGAAGAAGAAGAAGAAGAAAAAGCUGGACGCCAAGGGGUAUAUGCAUAUAAUCAUAUGCUCCCUUCCUUUAUUGGUAUGGGAGGAGUUGGCAAGAAAUUAUUCUCCGGCUUUAAGGAGGCUCGGGAGGCUGUUUUUGAAUUGGUUCAUCUAAAGUGGAAUCAAUCACCUCCGAAUUGGUUGCUUUUUGGUGCAUCUUGUGCUUAGGAUAGCAUGUAAGAGAUGAUAUGAAUAGCAUCCAAAGGAGAGAAUGUAGUCGUGAGCAGUGAGUAAUGAAGAGGAAAAUGUACUAUGCAUGAUGUUGUUCGUGACGCUGUUUUAUGGAUAGCAUUUAAAGCAGAGAAUAGUUCACAAGAGGGGAGGAAUGAGGAAGAACAUGUAACUAUGCAUGAUGUUGUUCGUGAUGUUGUCUUAUGGAUAGCAUUUAAAGGAGAGAAUCUGUUCACAAAAGGGGAGGAAUGAGGAAGAACAUGUAACUAUGCAUGAUAUUGUUUGUGAUAUUGCUUUAUGGAUAGCAUUUAAAGAAGAAUAUGUUCACAAGAGGGGAGGAGUGAGAAAGAACAUAUAACUAUGCAUGAUGUUGGUUGUGAUGUUGCUUUAUGUUUAACAUCCAAAAAGAGGUGAGGAACGAAGAAGAAUAUGAAAUAUUGCAUGAUGUUGUUUGUUUGUUUCAUGGAUCCCCUCUAAUUGGAAAAGUGCACUUAUGAGAAGUGAGUUACGAAGAAGAACAUGUAACAAUACAUAUUAUUCGUGAUGUUAUCUUGUAGAUAGCAUUGAAAGGGAAAAAUGUAUUCACAAAUAAGUUCGAUAUGAGGUCAAUAGAAAGAUCAAAUGAAGGCAGGCUAAGAAUAAUGGUCAAUUUUGUACUUGUGGUGGACUAAGGCAUAAUAUAUUCAAUUUCUUAUUGUCAAAGUUAAUUUCAUAUUGUCUGAUUCUUUUGGCUUUGAGUUGAUUAACCUUGUUUUGACACGUCUCAGAUCAUUUGGUGAAUAGCUUCAUUUGUAAAAGGUGAACUUAAUCCAGACUCUUCUUGUUGAUUGCACUGACUUAGCUUUUCUAUUUUGCUUUUUGCCAACAACUUGCUGCCUUGCUUCCCAUUUAUCAAGAGCAUUCCCUUGGUGAUUUAUGCAGUAACUCUGUUAGAAAUUGGGGCUUCUGUACUGCUUUUGCAGUAUGACUGAUUUGUAUAACAUGAAACAUUGUCUUCAAUUGUCGAUUUUGCCUUAGUACUAAUUUCAACAUGACCUUUGUAAUUGGUUUAUUUUUAGCUUAAUCCUUUUAGAUGUAUAUUUCUAAUGUUAAUGAUUUGUGUUGAGUUGGGGUUUUUAUUUUGCUUUUGAACUGUAGCUCGAAGGGUUAGGUUUUGAAGCGCUUUUGAUUUAUUUUUGCAGCUCUCUGCCGCUUUGGGCUGUGAGAAGUUGCGCAAGGAGCCUGAGGUUGCUGUGGGUUUGGUAGUGAUGAAAUUUUAUGCAAAUACCUCGUAGAACAAAGAUUAUGCUAAAAAUGGUAGUAAUGGAAUUCUAUGGUAAUGCCCAGGAAAGCAAAAAUGGGAAAACAAGGAUUAGAGGGGUAUGAUGUUGUUUUAUAGAUAAUAUCCAAAGGAAAGAAUAUAUUCACAAGAGGUAAGUAAGGAGGAAGAACAUGUAGCUAUGCAUGAUGUUGUUUGUGAUGUUUCUUUAUGGAUAACAUCCAAAGAGAGGCAAGUAAUGAGGAAGAACGUGAAACUAUGCAUGAUAUUGUUUGUGAUGUUGCUUUAUGUAUCCCAUUUAAUGGGAAAAUUGUACCUACGAGAAGUGAGUAAUGAAGAAGAAUUUAUUCACAGUACAUGAUAUUAUCCGUGAUGUUGUCUUAUGGAUAACAUGAAAGAGGAGUGUAUUCAUAAAAAAGUUCAGACAUGGGAUCAACACAAUGAUCAAAUGAGGAAGGCUAAGAAUAAUAUACCUCAACAAAAUAGAAGCGUGAUGGUAUAGAUGACAAGAGCCUGUUGAAGACCAUUCUGCUUAACCAUUCCUCAGUGUAGCAUUGCUGAGUCUUGGUCUAGCAUGGGGACUAAUGGUCACUGUUGUAUCUGUUGUGGACUAAAGCAUAAUUAUAUAUUCAACUUUGUUCAAACAUUUCAUUUGUAAAUAAGUUGAACUUCAUCCA